UGCUGAUUUUUGCCGCUGUGAUAUUUCUAAGCCAUGAUUAUCACCGGGCGAAAAUUUGGCACA
rnacentral:pre_miRNA from 1 species